rnacentral:misc_RNA from 1 species
ACUUACCAGGACUUGUGAUAGAACAAAAUUGCCAGUGGGGAACUUGAGGCUCAUUCCUCAUAGAGAACCAACAGGCUCCAAAUCACCAAACUUCUUUGCCUCUCUGGGAAAACUAAAUGACCCACCACUUCAGAAGAAGGUCAUGGGGUCUGUGCACAGCUUUUCACAUCCUCCCUGAAACACCAACACGCCCGGUCCAGAGAGACAAGUUUUGGUGGUGUGACCAGCAGGUGCCUCGGCUUUUUCUAGCAUGCAGUACCAAAAUAGUCACCAUGGCAACCCUGGGAGGGCAGACUUCCAAAGAGAUGCAUUGUGAGCUCAGAAACUCUAGAGCACUUUCAAGCUAAAAGGAAGGAGGCUCAGCAGUGGGUUUCCAACCGUGCCUCCUUCCUUGGUUCACAAUGACAGUCCAACUUCUGCCAGUCCUGACUGUCAUUCAAGCCUUUUUGCUAUUUAAGAAUUUUGAGGAAGAAAACCGUCAUGUACUCAAAAUCCUGGUAAUCAGAAGUGUCUGGAGAUUUCGAGCUGUUAACAUAGAGAGGUGGCAAAAUUAUUUUCUGGGAUAUCCUUAUGGGCCUGAAUGGCAGCGGGAGUCGACAUAGCUGGUGCCUGGGCAGGUUUCCAAAGCACAGCCGAGGUGGAGAGUAGGUGAGGGCUGCAACAAAGGUCCCGACAUCUGAAGAGCACUGCACAGUUUGUCAGAGGAUUUCAGCUCCACACUCUCACUUAGUCCUCACAGCAACCCCAUGCAGUGACUGCUGUCACUUCUUUUCAUGGCUGAGAAGACUGUUGGGAGAGGAAAAAUGAAUUGCCCACUGGCAGGCAGGUAAGAGGCACAGCUGAAACUCUCACCUAGUUCUUCUGACUCCAAGCCCAUCAUCUCAGGAUUGUACCCAAGUGGCUCUUGCACCAGUAUCAGCGCCAAUGGCAGGGUCAGCAGAAAAUAGCAGAGGGGCCUGAAAACAGAUGGGAACAUCUGGAAAAGGCAGUGGGGAGCUGUUGAGAGCAUUUUGAGUGGGGCAGUGACACUGCUGGCUCUGCAUUUUGGAAAGGUGGUUUUCAGAGCAGUUUGGAUGAUGCUGGGGAGUAGCUGACAGGUUGAAGAUCAGUCCUGAGGAGCAGAUGCAUAAUCCACUUAGGAAAAAGGAGGGGGGAUGCACGGAGUUAGCACAUAUUAAGUGCCUGCUGUAGUCAAGCCCUGUUGGACACCAGGGACAUCUGGACCUUGACAACGGAGCGAAGGGGUGGUCCUGCCUGCACCAGGUUUCAGUGGCUUCUCAGGCUUCUCUGCAGCAUGGGUGUUCCUGCCUUGGCCAGAGCCGAAAUCCCAGAGCAGUGAAAGAGGAGCCAGUGUCAUGGGGCUUCUGGUU